rnacentral:rRNA from 1 species
AGAGUUUGAUCCUGGCUCAGGAUGAACGCUAGCGACAGGCUUAACACAUGCAAGUCGAGGGGCAGCACAGGUAGCAAUACCGGGUGGCGACCGGCGCACGGGUGAGUAACGCGUAUGCAACUUACCUAUCAGAGGGGGAUAACCCGGCGAAAGUCGGACUAAUACCGCAUGAAGCAGGGGCCCCGCAUGGGGAUAUUUGCUAAAGAUUCAUCGCUGAUAGAUAGGCAUGCGUUCCAUUAGGCAGUUGGCGGGGUAACGGCCCACCAAACCGACGAUGGAUAGGGGUUCUGAGAGGAAGGUCCCCCACAUUGGUACUGAGACACGGACCAAACUCCUACGGGAGGCAGCAGUGAGGAAUAUUGGUCAAUGGGCGUAAGCCUGAACCAGCCAAGUCGCGUGAGGGAUGAAGGUUCUAUGGAUCGUAAACCUCUUUUAUAAGGGAAUAAAGUGCGGGACGUGUCCUGUUUUGUAUGUACCUUAUGAAUAAGGAUCGGCUAACUCCGUGCCAGCAGCCGCGGUAAUACGGAGGAUCCGAGCGUUAUCCGGAUUUAUUGGGUUUAAAGGGUGCGUAGGCGGCCUUUUAAGUCAGCGGUGAAAGUCUGUGGCUCAACCAUAGAAUUGCCGUUGAAACUGGGGGGCUUGAGUAUGUUUGAGGCAGGCGGAAUGCGUGGUGUAGCGGUGAAAUGCUUAGAUAUCACGCAGAACCCCGAUUGCGAAGGCAGCCUGCCAAGCCAUGACUGACGCUGAUGCACGAAAGCGUGGGGAUCAAACAGGAUUAGAUACCCUGGUAGUCCACGCAGUAAACGAUGAUCACUAGCUGUUUGCGAUACAGUGUAAGCGGCACAGCGAAAGCGUUAAGUGAUCCACCUGGGGAGUACGCCGGCAACGGUGAAACUCAAAGGAAUUGACGGGGGCCCGCACAAGCGGAGGAACAUGUGGUUUAAUUCGAUGAUACGCGAGGAACCUUACCCGGGCUUAAAUUGCAGAUGAAUUACGGUGAAAGCCGUAAGCCGCAAGGCAUCUGUGAAGGUGCUGCAUGGUUGUCGUCAGCUCGUGCCGUGAGGUGUCGGCUUAAGUGCCAUAACGAGCGCAACCCUUGCCACUAGUUACUAACAGGUGAUGCUGAGGACUCUGGUGGGACUGCCAGCGUAAGCUGCGAGGAAGGCGGGGAUGACGUCAAAUCAGCACGGCCCUUACAUCCGGGGCGACACACGUGUUACAAUGGCGUGGACAAAGGGAGGCCACCUGGCGACAGGGAGCGAAUCCCCAAACCACGUCUCAGUUCGGAUCGGAGUCUGCAACCCGACUCCGUGAAGCUGGAUUCGCUAGUAAUCGCGCAUCAGCCAUGGCGCGGUGAAUACGUUCCCGGGCCUUGUACACACCGCCCGUCAAGCCAUGGGAGCCGGGGGUACCUGAAGUGCGUAACCGCGAGGAGCGCCCUAGGGUAAAACUGGUGACUGGGGCUAAGUCGUAACAAGGUAGCCGUACCGGAAGGUGCGGCUG